rnacentral:sRNA from 1 species
CUUCAGCGACCCGAGCCACAACGGGCGGUCCUGGCCGUAGGUGGCCAGCAGUGCGUCGCCUC